rnacentral:rRNA from 1 species
UACGGAGGGAGCUAGCGUUGUUCGGAAUUACUGGGCGUAAAGCGCGCGUAGGCGGCUUUGUAAGUCAGAGGUGAAAUCCCGGAGCUCAACUCCGGAACUGCCUUUGAGACUGCAUCGCUUGAAUCCGGGAGAGGUGAGUGGAAUUCCGAGUGUAGAGGUGAAAUUCGUAGAUAUUCGGAAGAACACCAGUGGCGAAGGCGGCUCACUGGACCGGCAUUGACGCUGAGGUGCGAAAGCGUGGGGAGCAAACAGG